rnacentral:rRNA from 1 species
CCUACGGGAGGCAGCAGUGGGGAAUAUUGGGCAAUGGGCGCAAGCCUGACCCAGCAACGCCGCGUGAAGGAAGAAGGCUUUCGGGUUGUAAACUUCUUUUCUUAGGGACGAAGCAAGUGACGGUACCUGAGGAAUAAGCCACGGCUAACUACGAGCCAGCAGCCGCGCUAAUACGUAGGUGGCAAGCGUUAUCCGGAUUUACUGGGUGUAAAGGGCGUGUAGGCGGGACUGCAAGUCAGAUGUGAAAACCACGGGCUCAACCUGUGGACUGCAUUUGAAACUGUAGUUCUUGAGUACUGGGGAGGCAGACGGAAUGCCUAGUGUAGCGGUGAAAUGCGUAGAUAUUAGGAGGAACUCCAGUUGCGAAGGCGGUCUGCUGGACUGCAACUGACGCUGAGGCGCGAAAGCGUGGGGAGCAAACAGGAUUAGAUACCCCGGUAGUC